rnacentral:lncRNA from 1 species
UAUGCCCCACUGCCCCAAUAAAUGACCAUAAUUUGGGAAAUCAUCAAAGAAGUAAACAUCACCCUUAACAACAUAAGCGAAACCAUUGCUGAUAAUCUGCAGAUCAUGCCCUCCCAUCACCCACAAUAUAUUUAUACACCCACUAAAACCCAUUGCCGACCACCGCACAAUGCAUCAGAAAUGGCUUCAAGUACUUCCCAAGGAGGCAAGCUUUCAUCAAUAUGGAUACACCCAACUCAAUUUCAGCCUCCAACACCUCUUCAAAAACUCAAACAUAGACGGUAAAUUAUCCUUACAAAUCAAUACCGAUGACGCAUGAACCUCCUUCUAUAAUAUGCUCCAACUGAAACCUUCGCCACACAUCUUGUCAUUUUUAAGAAAUUGCUAGCCGUCAAAAAUGAGAAAAUUGAGAAAUCGCGUGGGGGAGGAUUUGCACCUUUACACAAACAUACACACACACA